CGCAAAUAAUUUUCCGGGAUGAGUAGAUCAUGUUUUAGCUGAGUUAAAUGUGGUUUCAUAGGCAGACAUUCAACAGACAUUCACUAUUAGAGACGGUAUGCAAGUUUGGUGACCGGUGGACCAGAGUAGGAUUUGACUAAAUCGUUAAAGGGUUUCAGCUCAUAGACAUCUUAUUUAAAGGCUAGACGUCUCAUGGCGCAGUCACUUCCGGCAUCACCGGUGGCCAUCUUGUCACAGGCAGGCUUCCUGUCGGGCUCUGUGGUACCUAAUAUAAGGACACCUCUACAGGACACCUCAUCGACACCUCUACAAGCCUGUCAGCUGUAGAUGUGUCCUCUGCAGCAGGAGGAGAAGAUCUUCCAUCCCCGUUUGCUGACAUUCCU